UUUUUUUUUUUUUUUUUUUUUUUUUUUUUUUUCCU
rnacentral:ribozyme from 1 species